GGGGAAUAUUGGACAAUGGGCGAAAGCCUGAUCCAGCCAUGCCGCGUGAGUGAUGAAGGCCUUAGGGUUGUAAAGCUCUUUCGCCAGGGACGAUAAUGACGGUACCUGGAUAAGAAGCCCCGGCUAACUUCGUGCCAGCAGCCGCGGUAAUACGAAGGGGGCUAGCGUUGUUCGGAAUCACUGGGCGUAAAGCGCAUGCAGGCGGAUCGUUAAGUCGGGGGUGAAAGCCCGAGGCUCAACCUCGGAACUGCCUUCGAUACUGGCGAUCUUGAGUCCGGGAGAGGUGAGUGUAACUCCGAGUGUUGAGGUGAAAUUCGUAGAUAUUCGGAAGAACACCAGUGGCGAAGGCGGCUCACUGGCCCGGUACUGACGCUGAGAUGCGAAAGCGUGGGGAGCAAACA
rnacentral:rRNA from 1 species